rnacentral:tRNA from 1 species
GCGGGCGUGGCGGAACUGGCAGACGCGCCAGAUUUAGGUUCUGGUGGGGUAAUACCCCGUGGAGGUUCGAGUCCUCUCGCCCGCA